CCUUCCGGGGGCGCAGCAGAAUGAAUGCCAGAUUGAAAGGUCUUGCUGGACAAAGCUGAGAGGAUGGUGCAUGGCCGUCGCCAGUUCGUGCCGUGAGGUGUCCUGUUAAGUCAGGCAACAUCAUGACCCGCGCCCUUAUGUUGCUACCGAUGGAAUGUUUUCCAAUGGGGCACUCUAGGGGGACUGCCGUCGACAAUGUCGGUGGAAGGAGCGGGCUACGGCAUGGUCAGUAUGCCCCGAAUCCCCCGGGCUACACGCGAUGCUGCAAUGGCAUGGGACAAUGAUGCUCCGAUCCUGAAAAUGGGGUGGCAAUCUCUAAACCCUGCCUCAAGUUAGAAUUCGAAUGGCUGGAACCCCGCCUUCGUGUACAUGGAAUGCCUAGUAAUCGCAGCGUCAUCAUCGCGCGGUAAAUACAUCCCCGCUCCUUGCACACACCGCCCGUCGCUCCAUCCGAAGUAGGGAGUUUGGAGUAGAUGGCAGUGGUCUUUUUGGCUGCGUCAGAAUCUAGAUGUUCCUCAAAGGAUGGGAGAAGUCGUAAUCACAGGAAGCCGAAUCCCGCGGCCAAACGGCCCGGACGCAUGGAGAGACGCUCAUGAAACCGUG
rnacentral:rRNA from 1 species